rnacentral:rRNA from 1 species
UGUUUCGGCUAGGGGGCCAUCCCGGCUUACCAACCCGAUGCAAACUGCGAAUACCGGAGAAUGUUAUCACGGGAGACACACGGCGGGUGCUAACGUCCGUCGUGAAGAGGGAAACAACCCAGACCGCCAGCUAAGGUCCCAAAGUCAUGGUUAAGUGGGAAACGAUGUGGGAAGGCCCAGACAGCCAGGAUGUUGGCUUAGAAGCAGCCAUCAUUUAAAGAAAGCGUAAUAGCUCACUGGUCGAGUCGGCCUGCGCGGAAGAUGUAACGGGGCUAAACCAUGCACCGAAGCUGCGGCAGCGACACUCAGGUGUUGUUGGGUAGGGGAGCGUUCUGUAAGCCUGUGAAGGUGUGUCGUGAGGCAUGCUGGAGGUAUCAGAAGUGCGAAUGCUGACAUAAGUAACGAUAAAGCGGGUGAAAAGCCCGCUCGCCGGAAGACCAAGGGUUCCUGUCCAACGUUAAUCGGGGCAGGGUGAGUCGACCCCUAAGGCGAGGCCGAAAGGCGUAGUCGAUGGGAAACGGGUUAAUAUUCCCGUACUUGGUGUUACUGCGAAGGGGGGACGGAGAAGGCUAUGUUGGCCGGGCGACGGUUGUCCCGGUUUAAGCGUGUAGGCUGGUUUUCCAGGCAAAUCCGGAAAAUCAAGGCUGAGGCGUGACGACGAGGCACUACGGUGCUGAAGCAACAAAUGCCCUGCUUCCAGGAAAAGCCUCUAAGCAUCAGGU